CACGUCUGUGUGCCUGCGUGUGCGCACACGUCUGUGUGCCUGCGUGUGCGCACACGUCUGUGUGCCUGCGUGUGCGCACACGUCUGUGUGUGCACACAUU